rnacentral:rRNA from 1 species
GACGAACGCUGGCGGCGUGGAUUAGGCAUGCAAGUCGAACGGUAUCAUCCUUUCGGGGGUGAGAGAGUGGCGAACUGGUGAGUAACACGUAGGUUAUCUACCCUCAAGACGGGGACAACCCAGGGAAACUUGGGCUAAUACCGGAUGUGAGCAACUUUUAGUUGUUUGAAAGGUGGCGUAAGCUGUCGCUUGGGGAUGAGCCUGCGUCCUAUUAGUUAGUUGGUGAGGUAACGGCUCACCUAGGCAAUGAUAGGUAGGCGGCCUUAACGGGUGGUCGCCCACACUGGGAUUGAGAUACGGCCCAGACUCCUACGGGAGGCAGCAGUCGAGAAUAGUCUACAAUGGUCGGAAGACUGAUAGUGCGACGCCGCGUGAACGAUGAAUCCCUUCGGGGUGUAAAGUUCUUUUAUAUGUGAGCAGUGCUUCUUAUAUUAACAGUAUGGGGAAGAGAUAUUAGCAUAUGAAUAAGCAACGGCUAACUCCGUGCCAGCAGCCGCGGU